ACACAGUACCAGACAGUCUGUGCAGCCAAAACUAAGCAAUGCAUUGGAGGGUGGGGGCAGAGGAUUGCAUUUAACUGAUUUUCUGCGUGCCCCCUCCGCUGGGAGGAGCUACCGCGGUGCUUUAAAGGGUAAGUUAAAGACGCUUGGGCAUAGUGGCCCCCAUGGAAGUUGAACAGAGCACUUUCUUUUACUAAAUCAAAAAAUAUAAGUAAUAAUUUCCAGGACUAGCCUAAUUAUCAGUGCCUCGGCUUGCAGAAUAUAACAAGCACGGAUUAAAACUAAAAGCCCCAGCUCUCACAGUCAAGUUGACGGACAGCCUAACGGGUCGUGAUUGGCUAACGAGCCCAAAUAGAAUGAUGCGAUUGGCUGGCGGGAAACGUCAGUGUGACCUGAGUCCCUCCUCAGGCGGCGGUGACAGAAGGCUGCUGUACAGAGCGGGUUUCGUCAGGCCACAGCGUUGUAAACAUCUGUACGAAGAGACUCGUCGACGUAUGAACUUUUAGCGACUGAGUAACAGGAAGAUUGUCCCUUUAUGUGCUACCACUAAAAAUGCAGCACAUUUAGUUGUCUCGCUGGUCCUGCUGUAAUUUUUUAUGUAAUAUAUCCUGCACACCUCGGUCCCAAAAGCGCUUCCCGUGUAAUUUAAUUAAGCACAGUAGCAGCUGUCAAUUCAGAAGGGAGAUGUCAUGGCAUUUCCUGAUUUUAAGUAUUUGUAUGACCUGACCAGCAGGGGGAGCUAUUCACUCAUCUUAUGCGAGCACCUUAGCCCACAGGCAAAGGUUUAAGGACGGGAAGGAUUUAAGAAGCAGUAUUAUAAAUGCAGGGAAGAAUAGAAAGGCCUCUCAGAACCCCUGCAUCACCUACAGCUGGGGUGUCAAACAUAAGGCCUGAGGGACAGAAGCGACCUAGUAAACACUGUAGUUUCCUCAUGAUAUUACACCAAAUAAUUAUUAAUUAAAUAACACAAAUGUUGCAGGGUUUUUUCAGUAUCUACUACAGAAAUGGGGGGGGAAGAGUUUAAUUUUACACAUUUAUUUCUUACAAUUUAAAGUUUUGGUGACAGAUUUCUUUCUUUUAGUACAUCAGCAUUUCUUUGUCACGUUGAAAAACUGUAUGUAUUGUUGAAACUGCACUUUCUUUUUCUUAUAUUUAGAUAUCUCAGAGGUUAAAUGUGUACUUAGACUUCCUUACUUCUGAUAGAAAUGUGAGUUUUCACUGGUGUGGCCCAUUUAAGAUCAUGUAUGUUCUUGACAUCUCUCACCUACAGAGUGUAGCACACGGUUGCACACACCUGCAUCUCUUUCUCUCUCCCUCUCAGUAAGAGAUACCUGCUUAUCUACACAUGACAACAGUCAACAGAUGGGGAGAAUAAAAGCUGCUGCAGCUAAAUGCUGAAAACCAGUCUCCAUCAGAGACAAAGUCAGUCAGAAACACUCUGAAAUAUGCACAGUUAACCGCUUUUCUAUUGUUGCAGCUCACGUUUAGUGUAAGUAAACGUGUUUCCAAUUAGUAAAUGUGAAAUACUAGUUUGAAAGUCUGAGCUCACCCUGUAUCUCAGUCUCCAUUUAAAAGAUGUAGGCUGAUUGUUCUGUAUGUACUCUGACUGGUGUAUUCCUGGUGAGUUUUUAAUGGGGCACCUAUGGCAUUUGUGUACUUUGACAACUUUUUUCUGUUAGUCCCAAGUAUUUUAUUCUUGUAAUAUGAGUAACUGUUGUCCAAACAUAGUGGGUAGAUGCCAAACUGAGGGGAAGUCACCAGAACCAGAAUGUAAGUAGCUACCUAUAACAAUGAUAUAAGUAGCUGAUCCAGCUCACGAUCUAUGACAAUUUGCAGGUCAUUUCCUGUACAAAACAACAAAUGUGACCUUGACCAUGAUCUUAAAAACAAUUUGGUUGAAGACCCUUUUGGUCAAGGGUGCCAAACAUAAGGCCUGGGGGCCAGAAUCGGCCUGGCACGACUCCAAUCCGCCCCAAGGGACGGACCAACAAACAAUGAACAAAGCAUUCAGUGGACCUGUACACAUGAUUAUGUCUUAGCACAAAAGCUGAGGUGUAACUAAUAACAUUAUAAGCAUGACAACUCUCUCCACCGCAGAUCUGAUGACACAUAGUAGCUAGAAAGCAUAGGUGUAAUUAAUAAACUUAAUUAUUGAUGGAUGCAGUCGUCCCACUUUCACAUUCCUGGCAUCAUCGACAGAAGUGAAACAGAUGCAACAUUAAAGUGAAUUUAACGCGACCUCUUCACUUGUUUUUGAACUUGAACUUCUGACAUUGUGUAAAAUGUAACUCAAAAGCAAAAUGCAAUAAUUUAAA